rnacentral:rRNA from 1 species
UACGUAGGUGGCGAGCGUUGUCCGGAUUUACUGGGCGUAAAGAGCGCGCAGGCGGCUGGUCAAGUCCGAUGUGAAAGCUCCCGGCUUAACUGGGAAAUUGCAUCGGAAACUGAUCGGCUGGAAGGUGGGAGAGGGUAGCGGAAUUCCCGGUGUAGUGGUGAUAUGCGUAGAUAUCGGGAGGAACACCUGUGGCGAAGGCGGCUUUCUGGGCCUUACCUGACGCUGAGACGCGAAAGCGUGGGGAGCGAACCGG